AUUGUUCUGUACCAAUUUGCGACAUUCACACAGGCACUGGUACCGGCUAAUUAAUAGUAACUUAGUAGUAGGCAAAGUUUUCAUUAGCAGCGCCGUUAUUCUGUACGGGUGCCGUCGCACCGCCGCCCCUUGCUUUGUCUAAUUCGGAUUGGCAACAAAGUAUGCAUCCGAUAUUUUUCAAAAAUUGGCUUCUACCAUUAAUGGGUCGUUAUUAAAUCGGAUUCGGAAUUUUUAUCGAGAACAGAAGACAGCAAAAACAGUUUCUCUGAAAACGCUGCAGAUAAAGGAAAAAUCUGGAUCCAUGUUGCGCUAGUCAAUCUGGAGUUCAACCGGGAAACAUGGACAAACAACGUGUAGGAAUUUCUUCAUCCUACUCUUAGUCUAUGUCUAAUAUGUGAUUCGUCGCGGCUCCAGUCGUCAUCAGCCACGUUUUGCAUGUAAUCAGUAUUGUAUUUUAAUAUAAUACUCGUUUCUUAUAACAGCAAUGACGAAGUCUAAUCAGAGCUAAAUUCCACAAUAAUAAUAAUUAAUUCCAAAAACAUAAUUGUUUAUUUUGUAACUAAUAUUAC